rnacentral:rRNA from 1 species
UACGUAGGGUGCAAGCGUUAAUCGGAAUUACUGGGCGUAAAGCGUGCGCAGGCGGUGCUGUAAGACAGGUGUGAAAUCCCCGGGCUUAACCUGGGAACUGCAUUUGUGACUGCAUCGCUGGAGUGCGGCAGAGGGGGAUGGAAUUCCGCGUGUAGCAGUGAAAUGCGUAGAUAUGCGGAGGAACACCGAUGGCGAAGGCAAUCCCCUGGGCCUGCACUGACGCUCAGGCACGAAAGCGUGGGGAGCAAACAGG